UGAGGAAUUUUCCGCAAUGGGCGAAAGCCUGACGGAGCAAUGCCGCGUGAAGGAUGAAGGCCUGUGGGUUGUAAACUUCUUUUCUCAGAGACGAAGUUUUGACGGUAUCUGAGGAAUAAGCAUCGGCUAACUCUGUGCCAGCAGCCGCGGUAAGACAGAGGAUGCAAGCGUUAUCCGGAAUGAUUGGGCGUAAAGCGUCUGUAGGUGGCUUUCCAAGUCUUUUGUCAAAUCCCAGAGCUUAACUUUGGAUAGGCACGAGAAACUCGAGAGCUUGAGUACGGUAGGGGCAGAGGGAAUUCCCGGUGUAGCGGUGAAAUGCGUAGAGAUCGGGAAGAACACCGAUGGCGAAAGCACUCUGCUGGGCCGUUACUGACACUGAGAGACGAAAGCUAAGGGAGCGAAUGGGAUUAGAUACCCCAGUAGUCUUAGCCGUAAACGAUGGAGACUAAGUGCUUGUGCGUUGAUUUUAUCAACG
rnacentral:rRNA from 1 species